CUCUUUCUCUUUCUCCUUCGCUGAAGCGUGGCUGUCCACUGCACCCUAGUCCACCUUCUUUCGUUCUCUCGUUCAGCAUAUGGAUUGAGCUCCGAAAUUGGCGCAUGUUUCAAAUUUCUCAUUGCUCAAGAUCCUCCCUGUCCCUUAUAGUUAUAAUAAUACAAAGCUCCUCUAGAUUUUUUAGGUAUGAACAUCAAAAAUCAAACUUAUUCGGUUUUCUCAUCGGGAUUUGGGUUCUUACCAAUAAGUACCCUGUCAAGAAUGCGUACAAAGACAGUUCCGUUGCGUAGCUUUUCUGGACAAAAAGCGCCCAAGUUCCGGCCACCAGUGCGCACAAUGAUCCGGCUGCAAUGCCACACAGAAAGCAGAACGAGCUAGUGAGGUCUGUAUCAAUCAACGUUUCGAUUCCAGUUCUGUUAAACAUCUCCCAUGUAUCCUUUGAAGCCUGUACGAUUCCUUUGUAAUACACCCCUACCUGCACAAAACCCCAUCUAUUUCCAUAAACUACAAGCCUUUUAGUUACUCCUGUGCAGCAAUUUGCACACGAGAACAUGAACUCAUCCACGUCUCCUGUAAGCAAACUUGUUGCACGAGCCAAACCCCGGAUAACACCAAGAACCGGUACAAGAAUCGAGCCAAAGCACACUCUCCCUAUCGAGUUCAUGGCUGAGUCUCUUAUCACUGUUUUAAGCUCAACCUCUUCCCCACUUGCAAAUCUCAUGAACUUGAUAUGUGAUACAGUGACAAACAUCAUGUUUCUAGCUACGUGAAGUGUCCACGUGAGGCUUAAAAGAGUCAGGAAUAUGAACAGGACAUUAAGCUUGUUGGUACCGAUUGCAGUUGCUCCCCCAAUGCCGCACAUCAGGAAAGCGGAAUAGAAGGUACAGAUGAAUAUCAAUAUAGGCGCUGCAGUUCUGAUUCUUGGAGGGUAAGAUGCCACUGAAAGUACUAGAAUCCUGAUGGCGUGCUGAAACCGGGAAUGGACCCAGCACGCGUACAAGGAUUGAAUGACAGCAGAAGCUAGAGCGAAUACAGCUGCUGCGGCACUUCCUUUAGAUCCAAUGGAGACGAGUAAAAUCCCAUACGCGCAGGUAACAAGAGGGCUAAUGACAAAUGCAGCCUUGAACGCUCGCGAAGGGUUGAUGCUCGUGAGCAACUGCCAUGCAAAUCCUGCAAUUCCUGCACAAGCUGUGGAGGAGAGCAGUGGGAGGUACCAUUUCUUUGGGUGGAAACGAUGGCUGUCUGAAGCUGAUAUGACACCCCGAACUAUGAGGUACAGCUCAAGGAUUACAAUCAGGAGAAAUUGUAUGCAGAAAAGGGGUACGAGGAAGUCAAGAUGAAGCCCAGAAACAGAUUUUCAGAUUCUUGAAAGAAGCUGUGCAUAGGGUUGAUGUUUGAAUUCAAGGUAACUGCUUUGUCUGAGAAAUUCACAUAUCAUUAUUGAUUGUAGUUGUUGAUUCAAUUACUUGAGACCCACGAUUUAGCAUGAGAUAGUGAUUAAUUUACA